rnacentral:rRNA from 1 species
AACGAACGCUGGCGGCAUGCUUAACACAUGCAAGUCGAACGAAACCGCCGGGCUUAGUGGCGCAGGGGUGCGUACGGACGGGGAAGUAACCCGUGGGUAAGCAAUACUUCCCUGUAGGGUAACUUAAGGCCGGAUAAGGUCAUACCACCAAGGAUUUAUUGCUGCUGGGUGGGGCCGUGUAAGAUUCGGCGGUUGGUAGGGUAAAAGCAUCUCAAGGCCACGUUGCAUAGCUAGUGUGUGAGGAUGGUCCGGCACACUGGGACUGCGACACGGCCCAGUCUCCUACGGAAGGGAGCAGUGGGGAAUAUUGGACAAUGGGCGAAAGUCUGAUACAGCAAUGCCGCGUGAGUGAUGAAGGCCUUAGGGUUGUAAAGCUCUUUGACCCGGGAUGAUAAUGACAGUACCGGGAGAAGAAGCUCCGGCUAACUCCGUG